AACGAACGCUGGCGGCAGGCUUAACACAUGCAAGUCGAACGGUUGUAGCAAUACAGCAGUGGCGCACGGGUGAGUAACGCGUGGGAACGUGCCUUGAAGUUGGGAAUAACGUCGGGAAACUGACGCUAAUACCCGAUACGCCUCCGGGGGAAAGAUUUAUCGCUUCAAGAUCGGCCCGCGUUAGAUUAGCUAGUUGGUGGGGUAAUGGCCUACCAAGGCUCCGAUCUAUAGCUGGUCUGAGAGGAUGACCAGCCACACUGGAACUGAGACACGGUCCAGACUCCUACGGGAGGCAGCAGUGGGGAAUAUUGGACAAUGGGGGAAACCCUGAUCCAGCCAUGCCGCGUGAGUGAUGAAGGCCUUAGGGUUGUAAAGCUCUUUGUCAGGGAAGAUGAUGACGGUACCUGAAGAAUAAAGCACCGGCUAACUUCGUGCCAGCAGCCGCGGUAAU
rnacentral:rRNA from 1 species